rnacentral:lncRNA from 1 species
AGUUAAUGAAUGACAACUUGACGAGAUCUUGACACGCACGUACGUUGGAAGUGUACGCGUGUUUGCACCUCGAUGAGCGUUGCACAAUAACAAAGCUCCGUUGGUGAGCGUAUUGAUUAAUAAAGCUAGGUGAAGUACUUGAGUGCCUCAAGGACUUUGUUUUGUUUUAGCAGUAUUUUUUCCUUCAACAAUUAAUCUUGCAUCUCCAACCGUGGAAUGAGUUACAUGUGACUCGAGACAAACAAACAGUGCAAUUGCAACAAUAUAAUUAGUCAGCGGUAUGGUCACUAUCAGCAGCUUUACACACAGUGUGCAUCGUGAAUACAUCAAUCCCAGA